rnacentral:rRNA from 1 species
GGCCAUCAUGCUGAAUAUACCGGUUCUCGUUAAAUCACCGAAGUCAAGCAUCAUUGGGCGCGGUCAGUACUUGGAUGGUUGAACACCUGGUAACACCGCGUGCCGUU